rnacentral:tRNA from 1 species
AGGUAAUUAACUCAAUUGGUAGAGUAUUUCAUUUACACUGAAAAGGUUAAUGGUUCGAAUUCAUUAUUACCUA